rnacentral:rRNA from 1 species
AUUGAACGCUGGCGGCAGGCCUAACACAUGCAAGUCGGACGGUAGCACAGAGGAGCUUGCUCCUCGGGUGACGAGUGGCGGACGGGUGAGUAAUGUCUGGGGAUCUGCCCGAUAGAGGGGGAUAACCACUGGAAACGGUGGCUAAUACCGCAUAACGUCGCAAGACCAAAGAGGGGGACCUUCGGGCCUCUCACUAUCGGAUGAACCCAGAUGGGAUUAGCUAGUAGGCGGGGUAACGGCCCACCUAGGCGACGAUCCCUAGCUGGUCUGAGGGGAUGACCAGGCACACUGGAACUGAGACACGGUCCAGACUCCAACGGGAGGCAGCAGUGGGGAAUAUUGCACAAUGGGCGCAAGCCUGAUGCAGCCAUGCCGCGUGUAUGAAGAAGGCCUUCGGGUUGUAAAGUACUUUCAGCGGGGAGGAAGGCGAUGUGGUUAAUAACCGCAUUGAUUGACGUUACCCGCAGAAGAAGCACCGGCUAACUCCGUGCCAGCCGCCGCGGUAA